rnacentral:rRNA from 1 species
UGAGCAAUCUGCCCUUCUCUUCGGAAUAAGCGUUGGAAACGACGUCUAAUGCCGAAUACGACCUCCUUUCGCAUGAUCGGAGGUGGAAAGCUCCGGCGGAGAAGGAUGAGCUCGCGGCCUAUCAGCUAGUUGGUGUGGGUAAUGGCCCACAAGGCGACGACGGGUAGCCGGCCUGAGGAGGGUGACCCGGCCACACGUGGGACUGAGACCACGGCCCAGACCUCCGUACGGGGAGCAGCG